rnacentral:rRNA from 1 species
CUACUAUAAGACUGGGAUAACUUCGGGAAACCGGAGCUAAUACCGGAUAAUAUUUUGAACCGCAUGGUUCAAAAGUGAAAGACGGUCUUGCUGUCACUUAUAGAUGGAUCCGCGCUGCAUUAGCUAGUUGGUAAGGUAACGGCUUACCAAGGCAACGAUGCAUAGCCGACCUGAGAGGGUGAUCGGCCACACUGGAACUGAGACACGGCCCAG